rnacentral:rRNA from 1 species
CCGUUUGGCGAGUCGUCUAAGUAGGUAGUUUGUAGUCCGUAGUCGUCAGGAUGAACGCCGGCGGCGUGCUUAACACAUGCAAGGUCGAACGGACAGUGAUGAAACCUAGUGAUUUAUCGUGUUAGUGGCGGACGGGUGAGUAACGCGUGGGUAACCUGCCGUAUACAGGGGGAUAACACUUAGAAAUAGGUGCUAAAACCGCAUAAGCGCACAGGAUCGCAUGGUCUGGUGUGAAAAACUCCGGUGGUAUACGAUGGACCCGCGUCUGAUUAGCUUGUUGCGGGGUAGAGGCCCACCAAGGCGACGAUCAGUAGCCGGCCUGAGAGGGUGAACGGCCACAUUGGGACUGAGACGCGGCCCAAACUCCUACGGGAGGCAGCAGUGGGGAAUAUUGCACAAUGGGGGAAACCCUGAUGCAGCGACGCCGCGUGAGUGAAGGAGUAUUUCGGUAUGUAAAGCUCUAUCAGCAGGAAAGAAAAUGACGGUACCUGACUAAGAAGCCCCGGCUAACUACGUG